UUCUCCUCGGGAUGUCCCUGGAAGGAAGGGUCUCUGGAGUUUGGACGGCAGUUACCUUGCAGGUAUGUGCUUACUGUGGCAACUCUCAGGGCUCCUGACAGGGCGAGAAGGGAAAUGAGAGAAAAUUCAGGGUCAUCUAUUUGCUACAGAGUUAGUGGGGAUGAGGAGGCCAAGAAAAUCUCUCAAAAUGAGUGACUUUGGAGAGAAUAUUCUCCACUAAGAAGCAAGUAUCCAUUAGUUUCCUGAGGGGAGGAGAUAGGGAGAUAGGUGGUUUCAGCACCCUCCUCCCCUGUUAAAAGCACUUUGGACAAACCCGGGUGUGCCUCCUGCUGUGGGAUACUGAUCCCACGCUCCGCGCUAAUAUUUCUCAAUAAAUGCCGAUUCCUUGCCCAAGAUCUGAACGUCCACAGACUCUGCCCCGCCAUGCGCCGCCUUCCCCAGCGGGCACAAAGAAUUGGAAAGAAAAUCAGUCGGGACCUGCCACCAACUCUCAGAAGCAACUUCCAGGUUCCAAACAAGAAACCCUGGGGAAAAGCAAAUGAAUUUGACCCAAGUCUCGGCGAAUGCUGGCCACUAGCCCUCAGUCGCAGAAGUUGCCUUUAGGUUGGAGGCCAGCCAACAGCCUGCCCGCGCGAUGUGAGUCGCCUCCGGGACCCUAACGUUUUCCCUGCUUCUGCACCCCAAGCCCGAAGGUGGCGAUACCACGAGGAAGAUGGAGAUUAGACUGGACCACCUGCCCAAGACCCAAGAUGAUCUCCCCUGCCAGCUCCUCUCUCAAGACCGGACCUCCCAGUCCACUCGGAAGGGAACCAGCCUGAAAGGGCAGCGCGGCGCGCCUGGACCCCUGGGGGGCGGCAAAGUGCCCCACGGAAAAUGAAGUCCAAAAGCUCUACAGCGUAGCCUUUUUAGCGAAGGCUGCAGAUUCUGACAGUCCAAACCCAAAACCUCACCUUUGCUUCAGGGCAGGGGCGGGAGGCUGUUUGGCAGCGGGGGAGGAGCCCGGAUUAGCGAGACAAUUGCUUCACCUGGCACUUCCCUCCCCAGGAAGGCCGAGAUGCGUCUGCGAGCUGCCCUUCCGGGGCAGCAGGGUCUCUCGCGCACUAGCCUGUUGAUGAUGUCUCAGAGAGUUAUGUCCACUUGCAGCAGAAAAGGCUUUUUUUUUAAUGA